AUUAGAAGCGAAUUGUGCAAGGGCUUCUAACUCCAUGAGUUAUAGUUCCAAUUUUCAUUUGCUAGUACUUGUUUCAUGGCUUUAGUUUGAGAUGCGGAUCCCACUCUGGAAACAGAAAUACCCACAUUAAUAGCAGGUCAGUUUCUUGCGUUGAAUAGAUUGACAUAUUAGAAUAUUUGUCCAUCUACACAUACACAUGCAUACAUGCAAAUGGCCUUUUUACCCUUUAUUGGAGAAGUUUUUUUUCCUUCAAAUGGAUUAUAUUGGAUGUUUCUAUAUCACUGCCAACCCAUUUGGUUAUAGUCAAUCAGAGUUUUGAUGCAGAAAAUGGAACAAGCAGACUCAAGCAGGCGAUCAUCAAAAAAUCAGAGUACUCCCACUCCUGUUCUUGCCAUCCUUGCAAAGGACAUUGGUGAUCUAGCAAGCAAGGAAAAAGCACUGUUCAGUCCUAUAUUGAAGAAGUGGCAUCCUCUGGCUGCAGGCAUUGCUGUUGCUACCCUUCAUUCAUGUUAUGGUAAUGAACUUAAGCAGUUUAUAUCCGGUGUCACGGAACUGACACCAGACACAGUCCAAGUGCUUAAAGCUGCAGACAAAUUAGAGAAAGCUCUGGUACAUAUUGCUGUUGAAGACUCUGUUGAUAGUGAUGAUGGUGGUAAAUCGUUGAUCCGAGAGAUGCCUCCUUAUGAGGCUGAAUCUGCAAUUGCUAAUCUUGUGAAAACUUGGAUAAAGACACGAGUGGACAGACUGAAGGAGUCGUUCGACCGGAACUUGCAGCAAGAGGAAGGUUCUUAUUGCACCAUAAGAUGCAUCUGUGAUUGCUUUUAUAAUUGAUGGCAAGUGGUAUGGUUUGGUGGCCCUGGAGAAAGGUAUUUUAUCAGUAUCCUUUAGCAAUAUCACGGAAUUGCCUCAAAGAAGAUUGGCUUAUAGUAAAAACACAAUAAGCUUGCUUCUUCGUUACGACCGAUGUCAGGAUGGGGCCGCCAUUGUCAUUCUCAGAAGAAGAACAAAAGAUCAGUGCUGAAAUAAGAAAUACCAAGAUACUGUGGAGCUACAAUCAUGUUAGUGACUCAAGUAAGAGUAAUUCUGAGUCUCAGAAGGUUGAUUGGCUUUCCUUUUGUCAUCAUUUGGUUGGAAACAACUCAUGGAAACAAAAUGGUGAAAGCUUACCUUCUUUAGCCGAGUCAACUUAGAUGUAAAACUAGGUCAUAUCUUGUGCAUAGUCACUGUCUGCUGAGCCUUGGCCAGGAUUUGCACUAGAAAUGCAUGCAUGUUAACUGCUUGUUUAUUUCCUGGUGUUUCCAUUUUCAUGGUUUAUGUUGUCUUAUAAAGUUACUGGUGUUAAACCUAUCAACUCCCGUCUGUUAUUGUUUUGUUGAAGAUUCUUUCACUGUUUUAAAAUGUGCUGCAUACUAUUGCUUGUGCUCCUGAAUAUGCAUGUGUUUCCUUGGUCUCACCGCAUUGCGUUGCCUAUAUGAAGGUUGCUAUAUGUGGUUGUGCUGUAAAUGAACCAAAAAGGUGGUCCACUUAGUAAUAUGCAAACACAUAAAUGACCUACUUAGUAUUAUAUUUGUACGGCUGAUAUGUGAGCCAUUUUAACACUUUGGAGCUACACAUACAGCCCACUCUUAUGCAAGCCUGAGAUGGUAAAGCCAGUUCAAGCUAAUGGUUAGGUUUGAUAUGGUUUUUAGGUGGGCUUGAUAUAGGUAUUAUUAAUGUUAAAAUAUUUAUUAUUUUAAAAUUAUUGCUAUUAGGGAUUCGGCAUUAAGCAACGAGUACUAAUUGUCAGUUAUUGUUCUUAUUAAUAUUAUUAUCAUUCAUCCAGAAAAAUACUACUAUAACUAUAUUUGCUAUUAUUAUAUUUGCAUUAUGUUUAUUUUCAAGUAGUCAAAAAAUAAUAGACUCAUAUACAUAUGUGGUCUACAUGGGGUCCUCUGAAGAAAUGAGUACAAUCUUUACUUUGAUGGCUCUCAGUGGGAUCAGGCACCUAUGUUACUUUGACUGCUCUACAUGGCUGAGGCUAGUGGAGAAAUUCUUUGUGCACCAUGGGCGGUGUAGAAAAUCCGACGUGGAGCCAUCGCUUUUCAACGCGCAUUUAA